AAAAGCUGAUGGGAAGAUGUUACACUACGUAAACAAAGUAAGACGUUGUAGAGGUCACACGCGUUAAGAUUUACCUUUUCAUCAUCGUAAUGAGGGUUAUCUUAUUUUUCUUCGCUGUUUUUGUUAUUUGCUGUAGCGCUUUAACACGAGCAGCCAAUCUGAUUACGAAGCCCAACAUUGACAUGGCUGAUCUGAAUGGAGCUGAUUCCAUACCGUAUGGAAAAAUCCCCAGUCGUCACCGAGGAUAUCCGUAUGGAACACGAUAUACUCAUUACCGUGUUACCGGUUAACACGACAGCAAGUUUUUCUUUUGUGGCUGUUAAUACUAAUAUUCCUUGACUAUCCUGUUUCGAUUUAAAGUAGCUGAUAAAUCUACUGACCUUAUUUUGGUGCCCUCGAUGCACGGUUUUAUGCCUUUAAUGGAGAAAUACACAUGAUGUUUAUAUGUUC